UACCGUGUUGACUUGCUUGUUCUCCAGCAUAGGAGGAGGAGGUAAAUCCAAAUCCAGAAGAAGACGCCGUUACUGGUCUACUGGAGCCGGGCUCUGAUGCCAUCCAUACCCGCCCUCCUCCGACAUGUCACACACAUCUACAGCGGCCACCACAUGCGUCACUUCGCCGCAUUCAUCGCUCCACGCCUCGGCCCAUGGGGGGAUCAACAAGUACCGACAGAUUGGCAUCCGGAACCGGACCGGUGCUGCCCAGUCCACCGCAGCAGCAGCAGGAGGAGAUGGAGGUCUCCCCACAGUGAGAUCCAGGCGGCGCGCCGGUCUCCUCCUGCACAUCACAGUUAACUCUUUCUGAGCCUCAUCCGGCUGACACCUGAACGCACCACAGUUUGUAGCGGACCAGUAGAUCCCCUUCCGGCUGGAGGAUCCCGAAACCGUAGCGGGUGGAAUCGACUGGAGGCAUUUGUGCUUUGGGGUCGCACACUUGCAGGUCCACAUGAGUGAGCAUCAGGAGCACAAAGCUGCAGAGAAAUCAGGGUGGACGGAUGGUGCGUACCGAACACUGGCGUGCUGUGCGUCUCCAUUGCGGAGGGAUGCCGGGGGGAGCCGUCCUCCCGGGUCAGACCUCUCAACUCUGAUUGAAGCGCCUCCAUGGCCUGAGGGCGCAUCUCUGCACUGACAGCCGGGCCAAAUGGCCAGCACGCUCCCCAGCUGCAUCACACGUUGUCCCCGUGUCCUUCAUCAACGUGCGAGGAGAAGUUUGGCUGAGAUGUUCACCACUGAGGGGGAUGCUCCACUUUCCAUCACAGAGUGUACGGAUGUGCUCCAUGCAGCACUCACACAGCGAGGACUGAUGGACGAGCCGACGGACUCGUGGAUGGUAUUUUCUUAAUCUACGGAGUAUCCGAGAGCUCCUGCAUCAGGUGAGCCACCUUGGAAGCUUUCCUCAGGUUGCGCACUGCUGCUGCAUGCUGAGAAGCAUCUUUGGGUGGAGAUGUUUCCUAGCUCCUAGCUUACUACCGCCACCUCCUGGUAAGAGACUGCACUAUACAGUAUAUACACUAUAUAUGUACAGUGUAUACAGUCAGCCAUUGCACUAAAACAGGGGUGGGCAAACUACGGCCCGGGGGCCACAUCCGGCCCGCCAAGUGUUUGAAUACGGCCCGUCCGUUCUUUCCAAAGUAUUUCAUUUAAACUCAACAUACGAACUGGCAUCAUGGCUUGAGCCAACCUUUUGAUGGUUUUAUCAAUUUUGUUAUUUGAUGUGGUCUGUUGUUUACAAAGUGCUCCUGAAAAAAGGGACACAAGCAUAAUGAUGAUAAUAAU